ACUGAUGACGUCACCCACGUGGUGUCACUAGGCGAUGGCCGUAUAUUUGAAUAGUAAGCGAUGACUUGCGGGAGAAGAGAGACUUAAAAGCCGAGAUAAUAUCAAGCACGGUACUUGUUCCCGAACAAUUUUGUAGGCGUUUAGUAAAUAGCAUACCGAAAGAAUUUUCGUCUGUUAGCAGGAGCUUUGAAGCAAAGAGAUGCAGGUACUCAAAUUCGGCAGGAACAGAGAUAACAGAACUAGAUAGGCGCUAGGUCUGUUGAAGAAAGAUGAUGAUGAAUGAAAAUAAAAAAAUCUAGGUUUUGGCUAUUCGCCGGUUUUCGUCUUUGGGAACUCUGGAUAGCUGAAAAGCGGCACAUACACUGGAGAUGGAGCAACUAUACCAGGCUAGCGAUAGCCGUCCCUAAUGUAGCAAUGAUAGACUAGA
rnacentral:lncRNA from 1 species